GUUACUUGCAGCAACGUGACGUCAAACAAAGAGCAGCCACAGCGCAGCAAGCUCUGGGAUGGGAUUUCUCUAGGUGCUGCGUGUGACGUCAAGCAAAGAGCAGCCAGGAGCAGCAAGCGCAGCCGCGUCUUGGAUAGAAGAACACGACCAUAGCUGCAGAAGCCUUCUAUAUCUAUGAUAUCUCCCGAAAGGAAUGCAUGACGAGGGGGUGGUGGUCUUGUUGAUUGACGUUAUUCUUGAUCAAUCAGAAUCAUUAUACGCAGUCUUUGGUGCAUUGUACAAUGAGAAAACAGAGCAUGCUUUAACUGACUAGACGACUGACCAAUAACUUAACAGUAAACAUUCCCUAGCGGCGCAGUGCCAGUCCUGAAGUGAGGCGCUUUAUCUUCAAAGAAACUCGGAAAGAAGAAAUACAUAAUACGUGUGCAGUGGUAUUAUUAUGCAGAUACAUCUUUUAUGAAAACGAUAUUUUGAAUCUGGAUAAUAUGAAACUUUUUUUGAUAGAUUCUUUCAGAGCUUGCGAGAGCUGCCUGUAUUAACUUAAACAAAGCGGAAACUGGGAAAUCGAUGGCCCUUGUAACUAGUGAAACUGGUGCGCAGUGCUGCCGGAUAUUAUCAUAGAGGAUCGGAUCCGAAGAUCGCGAGUUUAUUGCUAGUGCAAAGUUAUUUAUUUAUUUGUGUACUAUUAUUGUUAAAUUAUAUAUAUAUAUAUAUAUAUAUAUAUAUAUAUAUAUAUAUAUAUAUAUAUAUAUAUAUAUAUAUAUAAGGCACCUCUUGUUAAUGUUGAGAACCAAAAUGGCGGCUUGGUGGCUCACUCCCCCAGUGAUACUAGUAUUUGCGUCGGUCCUUUCUGCUCCGGGGCUCGCCUCCUCCUGCCCGCAUCCCUGCUCCUGUAGCGCCGGGGAGAAUGGCUUUAUGAUGCUGGAUUGUAGUAGGAGAAAACUGACAGAGGCGCCCUCUGACCCACCAGGCUGGAUAACAUACUUGAGCUUGAACUACAAUGAGUUGACGGCAGUCCCCUUCUUUGGACAAUCAACUUGGAACAUAACAGUUUUGUCAUUAGUUCAUAACAGAAUUGCAGAGAUCAUCACAGAUCACCUUCAGCCUUAUGUUUCUGUGGAUUCUUUGGACCUCAGCUCAAACCUGAUUUCACAAGUACAAGCAGCCUCAUUUCCACCAAUGCAGCUAAAAUAUUUAAAUUUGAGUAACAACAGAAUUACCACUUUGGAACCCGGAUGCUUUGAUAAUAUUUCUAGCUCCUUGGUGGUCCUGAAACUGAACAGAAACAGAAUCACCUUUCUCCCGCUGAAGAUCUUUAAACUUCCUCACUUACAAUACUUGGAAUUAAAACGUAACAAAAUUAAGAUGAUCGAAAGUCUUACAUUCCAAGGGCUGGAUUCCUUGAAAUCGCUGAAGAUGCAGCGUAAUGGACUCAGCCAGCUUAUGGAUGGAGCCUUUUUCGGACUUAAUAAUAUGGAGGAGCUGGAGCUGGAACACAAUAACCUGACGGAAGUGAACAAAGGCUGGCUAUAUGGGUUACGAAUGCUGCAUUUGCUCCAGGUUAGCCACAAUGCUAUUCGCAGGAUCAGCCCUGAUGCUUGGGAGUUCUGCGAGAAACUGUCUGAAUUAAAUGUAUCUUUUAAUCAUUUGACUCGCUUGGAUGCGACUGCUUUUACUGGUCUUGGUUUGCUUGAGAAUUUGAACUUGGGGAACAAUGCUGUGAACCACAUUGCGGAGGGUGUAUUCAGUGGGCUGCCCAACCUGCACCAUCUAGAUAUAAGAAAUAAUGACAUUUCUUGGGCUAUUGAAGAUUCGGUUGGAGUGUUUGUUGGGCUGGGCAAGUUGAACACACUAAUACUGCAAGGAAACGGGAUUAAAUCCGUGACGAAUAAAGCAUUCUCCGGUCUUGAAGCGCUAGAACAUCUGGACUUGACUAGAAAUGGAAUCAUGUCUAUUCACCCAAAUGCCUUUUCACAGAUGAACCUAAAAGAACUUCUGUUGAACACCAGUAGUUUGCUGUGUGACUGCAAUCUUAAAUGGCUGCCUCAGUGGCUGAUUGAGAACAAAUUCCAGCGUUCUGUGAAUGGCAGCUGCACCCACCCUGCAUGGCGAGCAGGACAGAGCAUUCUCAGUGUCGUCGUGGAGGAUCUGGUCUGCGAUGAUUUUCCUAAGCCCCAGAUCACUGCACAUCCUGAAACUACAGUGGCUCUCAAGGGAAUGAAUAUUACAUUAACUUGCAUUGCAGCAAGCAGCAGUGAUUCACCGAUGUCGGCAGCUUGGAGGAAAGACAGUGAAGUUUUGUAUGAUGCAGUGGUCCAAAACUUUGCCAGAUACAGGGAACAAGUGGGAGCACUCAUUGAGUACACCACUGUAUUGCAUCUUUUUAAUGUUAAUUUUACCGAUGAAGGUCGGUACCAGUGUGUUGUCACGAAUCACUUUGGAUCCAAUUAUUCGGAAAGAGCAAAACUUACUGUGAAUGAGCUGCCCUCCUUCGUGAAAACGCCGAUGGACCUCACCAUUCGGACUGGGGCUAUGGCUCGCCUGGAGUGUGCAGCAGAGGGGCACCCCGCUCCUCAGAUCGCCUGGCAGAAAGACGGCGGCACAGACUUCCCAGCUGCACGGGAGCGACGCAUGCAUGUCAUGCCAGAAGAUGAUGUUUUCUUCAUCGCAAAUGCCAAGAUUGAAGACAUGGGCGUCUACAGCUGCACAGCACAGAAUACAGCGGGAAGCAUGCAUGCUAAUGCAACACUAACAGUGUUAGAAACUCCCUCUUUUGUCAGACCCUUGGAGGAUCGAGUGGUAGCCAGAGGGGAGACGGCAGUGUUGCAGUGUAUAGCUGGCGGCAGCCCCCCUCCUCGACUGAACUGGACGAAAGACGACGGCCCCUUGGUGGUUACGGAACGCCACUUCUUUGCUGCAGCCAACCAGCUGCUGAUCAUUGUAGACACUGGUCCAGGGGAUGCUGGGAAAUACACUUGCAUCAUGUCAAAUACGUUGGGUACAGAGCGGGGCCACAUCUUCUUAAACAUUGUUCCUUCUCCAAACUGUGAUCCUGCUCAGGGCAGCAGUGGUUAUGAAGAGGAUGGCUGGACAACUGUGGGAAUCGUCAUCAUCGUGGUUGUGUGCUGCGUAGUGGGCACCUCUCUUGUCUGGGUUAUUGUCAUUUAUCACAUGAGAAGGAAAAGUGAAGAUUAUAGCAUUAGUAACACAGAUGUCAUGAAUUUGCCAGGUGACAUUCCCAGUUAUCUGUCCUCUCAAGGAACACUAUCGGAGCCUCAGGAAGUCUAUAGUAACUCUGAAGCCGGGAGUCACCAGCAGCUAAUGCCUCCUUCAUCUAAUGGCUAUGUCCACAAAGGAAGAGAUGGUAUUUGUUAUGUGGACUCUGGGAGUGAAGUGGAUACGGAUGUCAACCCUUUUCUGGCCUCCAGCUUGCAGAACAGGAUGGGCUGCUUAUUCAGUGGGAGGACUGGCUUCCAGCCAGGGGAGCCACAAGAAGGAUAUGUACAGGCCAGCUCGGGUACUGGGCCGCUGGUCAUUUGUUCCGAUUGCUAUGACAAUGCCAACAUCUAUUCAAGGACCCGGGAGUACUGUCCAUAUGCCUGCCUUAGUGAAGAGGACUCCUUACCUGCCCAUGCGCAGCAAGAGGACACAGCCCUAGAUGGUUUAAUCACAGACAAGGACAUGUCUGUAUUUCUGACCAACCAUGACAGGAUACAUCUAAAAGCUUCUGCUCAGACAUGCAGCAAUGAAAGCCAUUCCCGACCGUUGUGGGUGUUAAAUCAAGACACAGGACUUGUUUCACAUUCCAGCUUCUCCCAGCAGCCUGUGAAUGUACCUGCAAACCCAUGUGCACGUGUUGAUAGAGAAGAUGAGAAGGAGGGUGGCCUUGAGUGCUCAGCACCCUCAAAACCAUUCCAGGGUGCAGCACAGGAGCACAUGUGUGAUUCCAACAGGACUCCUCAAAACAUACAGGAACCGAACGCUCCCAAAUAGAGCAGAAGAAGCCUCAUCUGAGGAAGCCACUACCUCUCAAUGACUACACUAAAUGCCAAAAAUGCAUAUGUGCAAGUUUACAUUUCAAGAAACAAUCCUAUUUCUUGUGCGAUAAAGCAUUUUAACAUAGAAAAGUCAAUACUUCACACUUUACCUGUGCCCUGUGAAUAUCCAGUUAUUAUUUAAGCUCGGCUCACCGCUACCACCCCUGCGCUGACUCGGGAGCGUGUGCCGUCAGCCGACCGCUUCUUUUCACAUGGCAGACUCAUCAUGCAGCCACCUCAGAGCUACAGCGCCGGAGAACAACGCACCUCCGGGCAGCUUACAGGCAAACCUACAGGCGCCCGGCCAGACUACAGGGGUUGCUGGUGUGCAGUGAGCCGAGGACAUCCUGGCUGACAUAAACCUUCCCCUCCCCCCCCCCAACAAAAAACUUGGUUUUUGUCUUUUUGUUGUCUUAAAAUAAGUAACUAAAUAACUGUUUUGCCUUAAAUUGUAGUCCGGUGAACAGUAUUCUGAUUUUAUGAUGCUUCCUUUUUAUACAGCAUGUUUCCCAAAACGUAUCGUCAUCAUGUAUGAGCUGUGGGAAUGAAAGCCCAUUGUGCAGUUUGGUAAAAGCUGGCCGUGUAUGGCAAUGGAUUAAGAAUUGCAAUCAUAAGGGCUCCCGAGUGGCGCAUCCAGUAAAGGCGAUCCUCGCAGGAUGUGCCCUAUAGCCUGGAGAUCGCUGGUUCGAAUCAAGGCUAUGUCACAGCUGACCGUGACCGAGAGUUCCUAGGGGGCGGCGCACAAUUGGCUGAGCGCUGCCCGGGUAGGGAGGGCUUAGGUCGGCAGGGGAAUCCACGGCUCACUGCGCAUCAGCGACCCCUGUGGCCGAUAGGGCGCCUGUGGCUCUGCAGCGGAGCCGCCAGAUCUGUGUUGUCCUCCGGCACUAUAGGUCUGGUAGCAUUGCUGUGGAUCUGCAGUGCGAAAAAUGACGGCUUGGAAGGAGCACGUUUCGGAGGACGCGUGUUUCAGCCUCCGUUUCCCGAGUCGGCGGGGGGGUUGCGAGCGGUGAGCCGGGGAUACAGAUAAUAAUUGGGCAUGCUAAAUUGGGGUGAAAACCGGGGUAAAAAUAAUUGGCGAUGACUAAAUUUAAAAAAAAAAAAAAAAAAGAAUUGCAAUCAUACCUGUCUUCAUGGUUGAUGUCAUACAGUAAUAUGUUGAACAGGUCUGUUGAUGCACACGAUGGUCUAGUUUUGAGUGUGUAUUGCUCCAUUGCAAAAUGUUGUAUAAUAUAAUAUAUAUAUAUUAUCCUUUUUAUACUGCUAUGUUUGUACUGAUUGCAUAAAUACCAAAGUCUCGGCAUUUAUGCUCUAUGCUGGAAAUACUGAUAAAAUGCUGUCUUGCUGUAUCGUGUAACGGUUCCCUUUGUAAUAUGUAUUUAAAAUUGUUGGCUAAAUGUACAUUCUGUAAAGCAUGUGUAAAAUAUGUUUGUUUCUUGUAAUAUAUAGUGACCUUGAAACAAUAAACUAAAAUCUCUUUUUCUGAA